GUAAAACAGGGCAAUAUGAAAAGAGGAAGUUUAUCUACAUUAAACUCUUUUGUAGAGAUUCUUUUGCUGAAAGUCCUAAAAUCAGCCAUGGUGAAGAUUUCUGGAGAAGGUCAGUGAAGACUUUUCUGUGGGCCUGGGUAGGGAGGGGGAAGAGGGGAAGGCGGCUGAGAGCAGCUUGGUGGAUCUGAGAAUGAGGAAGGAGAUGUAAAAGAAUAAUGGGAAAGGGGUUUGGGAGUUUCCUAGCAAGGGAAACUUGAGCAGCAGAGCAGGUAGAGCAGAGGGGAAAAUGGGAGUGAAUAUCCCCAAAAGCCUGUAAGGGACUUUAAUUCUUAGUAACCUGUUUUCAGUGAUGACAAAGCAAAUUUAAAGGCCAUUUUCACCAGAUCUCUGAUAGGGGUCCAAGGGCUCUCCUCAGCUUGUUUGAGCUUUUGGUUAGCUGGUAAGAGGACCUGGUGGGACCAGGUGUAGGCACUGACAGGAGAAGAGAGGAGUGAGUGAGUGGGUGGAUUCCUUCAGUAACUGCUACCUCAGCAAGGGGGCAACGGUCUGAGGAAGGGUGGUGGUGUAGGUUUUUGAUCUAGUACUUGGAGGGAGAAAGCAGGUUACUGAGGUGGGAGUGACAGCGGAGAGUCUGGGGCAGAAGGCUGAGGGUGAGGACCUAUUCGAGCCAGGCGAUAGGAUGGAGGUUCAUUAGCAGGGUCAAAAGUAGUGGAUGAGUCCGGAGGAGGAGAAAGUUGGGAUCGGUGGUUGGGGGAGUUGGUUUGCAAGCCAAAAGAAUUUGUAGAGGUUUGCAAGAGGUGCAGAGAGCAGGAUUGGAUCGGAGCAAGAAGAAAGUGAUCUCUACCCAUUUUUUCGAAUGCUCACAGUAAUUGUAGAGAUCCCUUAGAAUGGAGGGAUCUAGGGACCCAAAAGGGGGCUAUUUGUUUUGGUUGUCUAAGGGAUAAGUGGGUGCCACAGUCUGUCUGGGCACAAAAUAACCGAGCCACCACAAAAACUUGUAGAUUCCAACAGCAACUCUUUAUUCCCGAACUCUCACCGACACUCUACACGCACGUUCUGGGAAAAAUACGCUCCCUCCAAUGGGCUCUGCAUACCAAUUCUCUCAGAACCCCAUGAGAACUCAAUGGGAACUGAGGCAGUAGGAUAUGCCCUAAUCCCAGCAGGAUCUGCCCUAAACCUGGAGCCACCCUAUUCCAGCAGGAGCCACCCUAAACCCGGAGCCACCCUAAUCCCUGAGCAGGGUCACCUUUCAACCCAAAAAUGCCAUGCGUCAUUUCUACUUGGCUAUGGCUCUCAGCAAGUGGGCCAGGCCUGGGUGCUAUAUUUGAUCAAUUUUUUGGGUUUGAUGUCUGGUGUCAAGGAGAGGGUUUUGAGGUUAUCUAAGAGGCAUUGUAGGGGAGAGUCGACCGGCAGAGAGGACACAUUUCCCAUGUCGCAAAGGUAGUAUAAGGAGGAGAAGAGGACGCAAACAUAGUAUAGGGGAG
rnacentral:lncRNA from 1 species